rnacentral:rRNA from 1 species
CACGUAGUUAGCCGGGGACUUCUUAGUCAGGUACCGUCUUUUUUCUUCCCUGCUGAUAGAAGUUUACAUACCGAAAUACUUCUUCCUUCACGCGGCGUCGCUGCAUCAGGGUUUCCCCCAUUGUGCAAUAUUCCCCACUGCUGCCUCCCGUAGGAGUCUGGACCGUGUCUCAGUUCCAAUGUGGCCGUUCACCCUCUCAGGCCGGCUACUGAUCGCUGACUUGGUAGGCCUCUACCCCACCAACUAUCUAAUCAGACGCGGGCCCAUCCUGUACCGUCUCGGCUUUUCACACUGUAACAUGCGUUACUGUGCGCUUAUGGGGUAUUAGCAGCUGUUUCCGGCUGUUGUCCCCCUGUACAGGGCAGGUUGCCCACGCGUUACUCACCCGUCCGCCACUAAGUCGCUUACUUCUUCCUCCCGAAGGAUUUAGUUGUAAGCGCUUCGUUCAACUUGCAUGUGUUAGCACGCCGCCAGCGUUCAUCCUGAGCCAGGAGUCAAAACUCU